UACGUAGGUGGCAAGCGUUGUCCGGAUUUAUUGGGCGUAAAGAGCGCGCAGGCGGUCGUUCAAGUCGCGUGUGAAAGCCCCCGGCUCAACUGGGGAGGGUCACGCGAUACUGAUCGACUCGAAGGCAGGAGAGGGUAGUGGAAUUCCCGGUGUAGUGGUGAAAUGCGUAGAUAUCGGGAGGAAUACCAGUGGCGAAAGCGACACCCUGGCACUAGCCUGACGCUCAUGUGCGAAGGCGUGGGGAGCGAACGGG
rnacentral:rRNA from 1 species